UCCUGGAAUGAUUUGGUUUGGCCUCCGAUGUGGUUGGUGUUGAGAUUUGCUUGCUCGAGUCCAGUGCAAGUACUAGUUCUAUCAUUAGUAGAAAAAUAAGAACUAACGAUGUAGUCAAAAGACUUGUGCCUUUUAUUCAUAAUAAAAAAGUUCAAUAUGACCUGAAUACAAACUGGUAUAUUACAAGGUUCGAAACACUAAUAAACUAGUAAUGCUUAGAAUCGACAAGAAACAAAUGAACUUUAAUUUUGUUCGGCGCCAUAUUUUUGCCAUAUGUGCUCUAUCAAAUCUUCCUUGAGCCGACGAUGGGUCUGUCGAUCUCGAAUCUCACUAUUUUUCUCUAGUACAUCUGCAAAUCUAUAGAUAGGUCCGUGGUGAAGUCCUGCAGUUUGCGGGGAAAAUGGCCCUUGUUCAUACGUGCUUGUCAAUAUUCUAUCAGCUAUCUUUUGGAGUUUAGUCUGGCUACAAUAUUUGUGAACACAUAAAACUUAUCGAUAUUCCAUUAGUACAAGCAGACAAUUACAUUAAGCUUUAACCAUAAACUAAGCAUACAUUAAGCAUUAACCAUACAAAGAGUACAUUAACCAUACAUAGCUAACUUCUUUAGAUAACUUCUUUACUGGUCUUCGAGUUCUUAGAUAAUUUGAGCACCGCAACCUCAUGUCUCUUCAGCUUUUCUGGACGCCAACCACUUUUUCAUCCUUGUUUCUUCCCGUUUUGCUUUGGCCGAUUCUACUUGUGCUUCUGCUGAUUUCAAUAAUGCUUCAGCUCUAAUCUUGAUAGUUUCAUUGUACAACACUAUAUUUUGAGAUGUCAGGUUCCCCAAUGGAGAAGAUGAAGUGCCUUUUCCUUUGCCUUUUAGCCUUUCUUUUGCUUUCUUCUGUCCCUCAAGCAGGAUAGCAUCCAGGUCGCCCAAUAUUCUACCCGUCAGAGGGUACAAUUUUCAAUAGCUGUGAAGAGGCGAGAGAUUUUUUUUAAUCUUUAUUCAUGAGAAAUUGGUUUUGGUGUUCGCUACGGACAAAGUAACAAGAACAACAAGGGUUAUAGGACAAGGCAAGAUAUUGUUUGCUCAUGUGAGGGCUCAUCACGGAUCAGCAAUUGUGCUUCUGUAAGGACUGGGUGUAAAGUGAUGAUAAGGUUGCUUAGAACUAGUGUGAUCAUGGAUGGUAUAUUAGCCGAGUGAACACAAGCCACAACCACAAAUUAUCCGAGGGGUAUGCAGAGAAGAAACAAUGGAAUUCUCACAGAAUGAUAGAUGCAACCACCAAGUACUAUCAAGAAACAAAGAGACAACAAUGUGCUGUUGCAUUUGGACAGGCAAGAAAUACCAAAGUUUAAUAUAAUGCAAAGAUGGACAAAGGAGGCAAUUGUAUAUAAUAUAAAUCACAGGCACAUGACAGUGAUAUAGGAUCAGAUGCAGAUCAAAUGAGAAAGAAGGCUUUGCUGAUGAUGCAGACUCUUCAGUUAGUCCAUGGACCUACUGCUGUUGACGAGCAGAUGUUCAGGAAUGCUAUGGAAGCUUUAAGGGCUCUUCCUGCAGUGCAGUGCACCGAUGGAGUAAUUGUUCAAUCUGGCAUGAGUAGCAUGGACAUUGAGCAUGAGCAGCUCCCUGUUUCUUGUCCUGAAAGGAUAAUGAAAGGUGGCCGGCCACUUAGUACUGGACUUAAGGCGUGGCUAUCAAGGAACGAUAAGAAAAGGAUCUCAGAAUGUUCAUCAAGGGAUCCAUUAGCUGAAGACUGGCCUGAGGAAGAGAGGCCUGAUAGGAAGAAGAC